rnacentral:rRNA from 1 species
CUACGGGAGGCUGCAGUGGGGAAUAUUGCACAAUGGAGGAAACUCUGAUGCAGCAACGCCGCGUGGAGGAUGACACUUUUCGGAGCGUAAACUCCUUUUAUAUAGGAAGAAGAUGACGGUACUAUAUGAAUAAGCGCCGGCUAACUCCGUGCCAGCAGCCGCGGUAAUACGGAGGGCACAAGCGUUACUCGGAAUCACUGGGCGUAAAGAGCGUGUAGGCGGAUUAAAAAGUCAGAAGUGAAAUCCUAUAGCUUAACUAUAGAACUGCUUCUGAAACUCUUAAUCUAGAAUAUGGGAGAGGUAGAUGGAAUUUCUGGUGUAGGGGUAAAAUCCGUAGAGAUCGGAAGGAAUACCGAUUGCGAAGGCGAUCUACUAGAACAUUAUUGACGCUGAGACGCGAAAGCGUGGGGAGCAAACAGGAUUAGAUACCCCAGUAGUC